CACAGAAAUCUUAUAUGCAUAGUAAUUGAC
rnacentral:tRNA from 1 species